AAUGAUAUGCUUGUCUCAAAGAUUAAGCCAUGCAAGUGUCAGUUCAUACCUUCAUAUGGUGAAACCGCGAAUGGCUCAUUAAAUCAGCUAUAAUUCCUUAGAUCUUACGUUUAUACUUGGAUAACCGUAGUAAUUCUAGAGCUAAUACACGGUCCACUUGACGGAGAGAAAGCUCGCUUUAUCACCGUCGGACUUAUUAGUUCAAAAGUCAACCGGCCUCUGGCUGUAGAUUUUUGAGAACUCUGGAUAAUUUACUAGAUCGUAUGGCCCUGUGCCGACGACGUAUCUUUCAAGUAUCUGACCUAUCAGCUUGAUGGUGGGAGCUUUGCCUACCAUGGCUAUAACGGGUAACGGGGAAUCAGGGUUCGAUUCCGGAGAGGGAGCCUUAGAAACGGCUACCACAUCUAAGGAAGGCAGCAGGCGCGCAAAUUACCCACUUGCAGUGCAAGGCAGAGGUAGUGACAAUAAAUAACAAUGCAGAACUCUUUUGAGGCUCUGCAAUUGGAAUGAGAACAAUUUAAAUCCUUUAACGAGGAUCAAUUGGAGGGCAAGUCUGGUGCCAGCAGCCGCGGUAAUUCCAGCUCCAAUAGCGUAUAUUAAAAUUGUUGCGGUUAAAAAGCUCGUAGUUGGAUUUCAGAUGGAGUUCUGAGUCGACUCAUUAGAGUUGUACUUGGAUAAUCUGUCUCGUAAGCCGCCAUGUUGAAUUGAUCGCACUUAAUUGUGUGUCUUUUCGCACGGCAUGUUUACUUAGAGAAAAUUAGAGUGCUCAAAGCAGACCAUUUUAUGAGUCUGAAUAGUUAUGCUUGGAAUAAUGGAAGAGACUUGG
rnacentral:rRNA from 1 species